CCCAGACUCCUACGGGAGGCAGCAGUGAGGAAUAUUGGUCAAUGGUCGGGAGACUGAACCAGCCAAGUCGCGUGAGGGAAGACGGUCCUAUGGAUUGUAAACCUCUUUUGUCGGGGAGCAAAAGACGCCACGCGUGGCGUUCCGAGAGUACCCGAAGAAAAAGCAUCGGCUAACUCCGUGCCAGCAGCCGCGGUAAUACGGAGGAUGCGAGCGUUAUCCGGAUUUAUUGGGUUUAAAGGGUGCGUAGGCGGGACGGUAAGUCAGCGGUAAAAAUGCGGAGCUCAACUCCGUCGAGCCGUUGAAACUGCCGUUCUUGAGUGAGCGAGAAGUAUGCGGAAUGCGUGGUGUAGCGGUGAAAUGCAUAGAUAUCACGCAGAACUCCGAUUGCGAAGGCAGCAUACCGGCGCUCAACUGACGCUGAGGCACGAAAGUGCGGGGAUCGAACAGGAUUAGAUACCCCCGUAAC
rnacentral:rRNA from 1 species